GGGCUAGUGAAAAAAAAAAAGAACAAGAGGCCCAAAUAAAAGGGGUGGCCGGUCAUGGUUAUGGAAAAAGGCCCAAGCCCAAGUAAAAUUUAAGACCAUGGAAAUAAAUAACAAAGAAGGGGCCAUUCUUUCUUCAACACCAUAGAACUUUCAAGAACAAGAGAGAGAAAGAGCAAGAAAAAAAAAAGGGCACUCGGCCUCUUUAAAAACAAAAAUAAAAAAAAUUGGAGCCUUAAUCCUUGGUUUAAAAUUCAUCUCUUUGAAUUCCUAUUAAGUUGGAAACCCUUUUCAAUGUGAUACAAAUUUGGAGGCAAGAAAGUACUUUUUUUACAAAGAGGAGAAUUUGGAAAAGAUAUUGGAGAGCCCGAGAUUUGAGUCGGGAUUUGUUUGGCGAGUGAUCGAGAUUUGGUAGUGAGCGAUUGAGGUACAGACGUUUGUUCUGGUGACCCGCUAGUGUAGGAUACAUUCUGCUACUUUGGAGUGCUCCUUUGACUCGGAGCCCAUACUUUUGGUAAAGACCUUUCAUGGUAUAUGUCUCUGUAUAUAUGUAUGACUAUCUGGGGUACGGCGGGGCCCUGUCCCGUCAUAUGUUCUGUUAUGUUUUGUAGAGGCCUGUAGCCAUGUAUGUGGGCCAUGGGUCAUGUUUGUUCGUUUGUGAUUAUGAUUUGCGUCUUAAUGCGGCCCCGUUUACUAUUAUGGCCAAAACGGCCCAUUUGUCUGUAUAUGUAUAUAUAUAUCUGGCGAUGUGUAUUCCGCCAAUCUAUUGGAUUUGGAUAUGAUGUUUCUAUACGGGCGACCGCUUAAGAUGAU